rnacentral:rRNA from 1 species
UACGGAGGGUGCAAGCGUUAUCCGGAUUCACUGGGUUUAAAGGGUGUGUAGGCGGGGAUUUAAGUCAGUGGUGAAAUCUCCAGGCUCAACCUGGAAACUGCCAUUGAUACUAUUUAUCUUGAAUUCUGUUGAGGUGGGCGGAAUACAUCAUGUAGCGGUGAAAUGCUUAGAUAUGAUGUAGAACACCGAUUGCGAAGGCAGCUCACUAAACAGACAUUGACGCUGAGGCACGAAAGCGUGGGGAUCAAACAGG